AGAAGCAGAGGUGCAUGCUGGGAGCUCCGGCCCAGCCGUGAGUGGUUGCCGUGGAAGCGGCUGAGUCACGGCGUCACGUCCUCCCUGCAGCCGAAUCCAAAGAAGCCAAAAAGUCUUUUUAGGGAAAGUCUGAGCUGCUGCUUGUGGUGCGUUCACUGGACUCCUCACAGCGUGGGAGUGUUGGUCUCUCUGCUCCUCCUGCUCCUCCCUCCUCCUCCUCCUCUCUCCUCCUCCUGCUCCUCCCUCCUCCUCUCUGCUCCUCCCUCCUCCUCUCUACUCCUCCUGCUCCUCUCCUGCUCCUCCUGCUCCUCCUCCUCCUCUCUGCUCCUCUCUGCUCCUCCCUCCUCCUCUCUACUCCUCCUGCUCCUCUCCUGCUCCUCCUCCUCCUCCUCUCUCCUCCUCCUGCUCCUCCUGCUCCUCCUCCUCCUCUCUGCUCCUCCCUCCUCCUGCUCCUCCUUCUCCUCCUCUCUCCUCCUCCUCCUCCUCCUCUCCUCCUCCUGCUCCUCCUGCUCCUCCCUCCUCCUCCUGCUCCUCCCUCCUCCUCUCUCCUCCUCCUCCUCUCUCCUCCUCCUGCUCCUCCUGCUCCUCCUCCUCCUCCUCUCUCCUCCUCCUGCUCCUCCUCCUCCUCCUCCUCCUCCUCCUCUCUCCUCCUCUCUGCUCCUCCCUCCUCCUCUCUCCUCCUCUCUCCUCCUCUCUGCUCCUCCUGCUCCUCCUGCUCCUCCUGCUCCUCCUGCUCCUCCUCCUCCUCCUCUCCUCCUCCUCCUCCUCUCUCCUGCUCCUCCUGCUCCUCCUGCUCCUCCUCCUGCUCCUCCUGCUCCUCCUCCUCCUCCUCUCUCCUCCUCCUCCUCCUCUCUCCUCCUCUCUGCUCCUCCCUCCUCCUGUCCUCCUCCUCCUCCUCCUCUCUCCUGCUCCUCCUGCUCCUCCUCCUCCUCCUCCUCCUCCUCUCUCCUCCUCUCUGCUCCUCCCUCCUCCUCUCUCCUCCUCCUCCUCCUCUCUCCUGCUCCUCCUGCUCCUCCUCCUCCUCCUCCUCCUCCUCUCUCCUCCUCUCUGCUCCUCCCUCCUCCUCUCUCCUCCUCCUCCUCCUCUCUCCUCCUCUCUACUCCUCCUGCUCCUCCCUCCUCCUCUCUCCUCCUCCUCCUCCUCUCUCCUGCUCCUCCUGCUCCUCCCUGUUGUUCAGUGCUGUUCAUGGAGCUCUGA
ensembl:lncRNA